UGAAUACGAGACGCUAAGGCGUCGAAGUAGUGUAUGUCAUACUUCCAAGAAAAGCUUGCACUGUCAUAGAUAAAAAACGCCUGUACCAUAACCAACACAGGUGGGUAGGUAGAGUAUACUAAGGGGCGCGAGAUAACUCUCUCUAAGGAACUCGGCAAAAUGACUCCGUAACUUCGGGAGAAGGAGUGCCUUAUUCUUAAGGUUGCAAUAACAAGAUCCAAGCAACUGUUUAUCAAAAACACAGGUCUCCGCUAAGUCGUAAGACGAUGUAUGGGGGCUGACGCCUGCCCAGUGCCAGAAGGUUAAAGAAGUUGGUUAGCAUUUGCGAAGCUGAUAACUGAAGCCCUGGUGAACGGCGGCCGUAACGAUAACGGUCCUAAGGUAGCGAAAUUCCUUGUCGGGUAAGUUCCGACCCGCACGAAAGGCGUAAUGAUUUGGAUACUGUCUCGGAGAGGGGCUCGGUGAAAUAGACUUGUCUGUGAAGAUGCGGACUACCUGCACCAGGACAGAAAGACCCUAUGAAGCUUUACUGUAACUUGAAAUUGAAAUUGGACUUUAUUCGCGCAGUAUAGGUGGGAGGCGUUGAUUAUAAUCUUGCGGGAUUAUUGGAGCCAUCAGUGAGAUACCACCCUUGUAAUGUUAGAUUUCUAACUUUGAAUCAUUAUCUGGUCAAAGAACAGUUUCAGGCGGGCAGUUUGACUGGGGCGGUCGCCUCCUAAACGGUAACGGAGGCGUACAAAGGUUUCCUCUGAACGGUUAGAAAUCGUAUCUAGAGUGUAAAGGCAUAAGGAAGCUUGACUGUGAGACCUACAAGUCGAGCAGGGACGAAAGUCGGUCUUAGUGAUCUGACGGUACUGAGUGGAAAGGCCGUCACUCAACGGAUAAAAGUUACUCUAGGAUAACAGGCUGAUCUCCCCCAAGAGUUCACAUCGACGGGGAGGUUUGGCACCUUGAUGUCGGCUCAUCGCAUCCUGGGGCGGUAGUACGUCCCAAGGGUUGGGCUGUUCGCCCAUGAAAGCGGUACGCGAGCUGGGUUCAGAACGUCGUGAGACAGUUCGGUCCAUAUCCGGUGUAGGCGUUAGAAUAUUGAGAGGAGCCUUCUUUAGUACGAGAGGACCGAGAAGGACAUACCUCUGGUGUACCAGUUAUCGUGCCAACGGUAAACGCUGGGUAGCUAUGUAUGGAGUGGAUAACCGCUGAAAGCAUCUAAGUGGGAAGCCCACCUCAAGAUAAGUAUUCUCAU
rnacentral:rRNA from 1 species